GACGAACGCUGGCGGCGUGCUUAACACAUGCAAGUCGAACGAAGAGCGACGGAAGCUUGCUUCUAUCACUCUUAGUGGCGAACGGGUGAGUAACGCGUAAUCAACCUGCCCUUCAGAGGGGGACAACAGUUGGAAACGACUGCUAAUACCGCAUACGAUCUAAUCUCGGCAUCGAGGAUGGAUGAAAGGUGGCCUCUACAUGUAAGCUAUCACUGAAGGAGGGGAUUGCGUCUGAUUAGCUAGUUGGAGGGGUAACGGCCCACCAAGGCGAUGAUCAGUAGCCGGUCUGAGAGGAUGAACGGCCACAUUGGGACUGAGACACGGCCCAGACUCCUACGGGAGGCAGCAGUGGGGAAUCUUCCGCAAUGGACGAAAGUCUGACGGAGCAACGCCGCGUGAGUGAUGACGGCCUUCGGGUUGUAAAGCUCUGUUAAUCGGGACGAAAGGCCUUCUUGCGAAUAGUGAGAAGGAUUGACGGUACCGGAAGAGAAAGCCACGGCUAACUACGUG
rnacentral:rRNA from 1 species